CUCCCUCUCUCCUCCCUCCCUCUCUCUCCCUCCUUCCCUCCUUCCAUUGACGGGAGCGAAACUGCCCCCAGACCUCUCCGAUUGAAACGAUACUCACAACGCAAACCGCGAUCCCUCCAAAGAAACGAGAGGUAUUAUCGCCCCUGGAAAAGCAUUCCACCAUUUGACGAGCAACCGGGUUCCUGCUUACAGCUCGCAACAACAACAACAACA